CGCGGCCGCUCGCCCUCUCUCCUCCCGCCUCACACCACGAUUCCGUUCAGCCCCCUCGGUCCUUCCCGCGCGCCUCCCUCGCCAGCCCUCAGACAUUAAGAAAGUAUUUUUACAACUAAGACAUCAAAAGAAGUGAAGGUGCUGAGGAAUUCUUUGGCUUUAAAGGAUGAAUUCCAGGACAUAAGAGGACCUGACAACCAGAUUCCAGGGGUUAGGUGACGCUUGGCCCGAUGGAGUGGCUUUCCCAGGACAAGAAAACUCACUCGAUAUUAUCAACUUUCCGUGUGGACCCCUCUGUCGGAGCAGUUCUGUAAGUGAGAAGCGAUGGCGCCACUGGGCAUUUUACCUGCUUCUCCCCAGGCUCCUCUCCACGCACAGGCCCAGGUGAUCUGCAGGUGCCCUACAGCCACGCUGCUCUCUGUGUGAAGUCUCCAGCCUUCCUGUUGCUCAGCCUUCCAGCUCAACCCUGCCUCUGGACCUGUGUGGCUACGAUCUCCUGUCCUUAGAAAUUCGGGUCUCAGCUCCCAGGUCACCUCCUCAGAUGCCCUCGCUGACCACUAGGGCCCGACUCUCUCCCUGGGCUUCAGAUCCGCCUGCUUCAUUUGGCUCACGGCACUUACCAUUUCAUGAGUCAUAUGCAGUCUGCCUGCUGCGUGAGAUCAGGCACACGUCACUUGAGUUCACCUCUAUGGCCGAGUGCCUAGAACAGGGCCUCAUACAAAAAGAAAGGCUCAAGAGGCCCUAGGUAAAUGAGUGAAUGAAGGCUCAACCAGCCAACUAACCAGCCAGCCAAAAUUAAGACUGAAAAUGAACAGUCUUCUGCUUUUGUAUUCAGGUGGCUAUUUUAAAUUUUUUCCUGAAAACUACGUGGAAGAAAUGGUUGUUUACUCUGAGCAGUGAUCUGUGCAGUGAUUAGGUAACUUUGAUAUCUGUGCUAUUUUACUUCAUAAGGCCAAAGUCUAUUGCCAUGCAUUUCUAAAUACCAUAAUAAUGUUUCUUUUUAAUAUAUGGACUUGCUUCCACUGACUCCAGCGCUGUGGCAUCGUCUGUAUUAACAAGCAAAGCCACGGGGCCCGGGUUUACAAUGUAAGUUAGGGUUAGAGCAAUCCUGUCUUCAGAAUAACAGUAUGAGGUUCCUUGCUUAAUACACAGGGGGGAAUCCAUCAGAAGGGGGUGAUGCUGCAGUGUCUUGGUACCACGAUUCCAAGGGCUUUCCAGGUAUGUUCAGUAUGUAAUUCACAGCAGACUUGUGUCUGUCUUACGCCGACCCCAUUGCAGCUGCUAGGGAUCCCAGAUGGAGGAGACACUAUUGCUCAGCGACUAGGAAGAGCUGGUAGUGGUUCCAGAACCCACCUGCUCAUUGGCAUCUCAUGGCAUCCACCUCUGUCUAGGCCCUGUCCCAGGCCAUUGGAAUCAGAAUCUCGGAGCCUGGUGCCUACACAUCUGUCUCUGUGUCAUAAGCCCAAGUGCUGUGCACAGGCAGCCAGGGUUCUGACCCACUGGUCUACUGGAAGGGUGGCAAAGCCACAAAGCAGUGGACAGUGGCCAUAGCACAGCUGGCAGGUGUGAGCUCAGAAAUGGUGACAUUUCCCCUCAGUACAAGUGAUAACUCAGAAUUUUAAGGAUUAGAAAGGCUGGCUCCUGUGCAGUAGAUUAGUGUUGCACCUACUUACCACCCCAAGCUGAUAAGAAUGGUAGAUAUCAUUCAUUAAAUUCAUUAGUUUCCUUACCUGGGGCCAAAUGAAUGAUCUUAUUUUUCUACAUAAGCCAGGAACUGGAUGUUGUAUACUUGCUCAAAUAAAGAGUUUUUAUUAAAACAUAAUGUCUUGGGCUGGGGAUGUGGCUCAAGCGGUAGCGCGCUCGCCUGGCAGGCGCGGGGUGCUGGGUUCGAUCCUCAGCACCACAUAAAAAUAAAAUAAAGAUGUUGUGUCCGGGGCUAGGGAUGUGGCUCAAGCGGUAGCGCACUCACCUGGCAUGCAUGCGGCCCGGGUUCGAUCCUCAGCACCACAUACAAACAAAGAUGUUGUGUC